GCGCUUGCAAAAUCAAGCGCCGGGCUUGACCUCCUGAAUUUUCAUACUGGCGACACAGAGCGCGUCCGCGCUUUUUUU
rnacentral:sRNA from 1 species